CGCACUGCCCCCAAUGUGAGUCUCCUUCCCAGGCUACGAAUACUCGGACCAGAAGUCGGGAAACUCAAAGGGGAAGGAUGUGAACUUGGCGGAGUUCGCUGUGGCUGCAGGGGACCAGAUGCUUUACGGGAGUGAGGACAUCCAACUAGAUUACAAAAACAACAUCCUGAAGGAGAGGGCGGAGCUGGCCCACAGCCCCCUGCCUGCCAAGUACAUCGACCUAGACAAAGGGUUCCGGAAGGAGAACUGCAAAUAGGGAGGCCCUGGGCUCCUGGCUGGGCCAGCAGCUGCACCUCUCCUGUCUGUGCUCCUCGGGGCGUCUCCUGAUGCUCCCAGGCUCACCCCCCUUCCAGCGGCUGGUCCCGCUUUCCUGGAAUUUGGCCUGGGCGUAUGCAGAGGCCGCCUCCACACCCCUCUCCCAGGGGCUUGGUGGCAGCAUAGCCCUCACCCCUGCGGCCUUUGCUCACGGGUGGCCCUGCCCACCCCUGGCACAACCAAAAUCCCACUGAUGCCCAUCAUGCCCUCAGACCCUUCUGGGCUCUGCCUGCUGGGGGCUUGAAGACAUUCCUGGAGGACACUCCCAUCAGAACCUGGCAGCCCCAAAACUGGGGUCAGCCUCAGGGCAGGAGUCCCACUCCUCCAGGGCUCUGCUCGUCGGGGGCUGGGAGAUGUUCUGGAGGACACUCCCAUCAGAACUUGGCAGCCUUGAAGUUGGGGUCAGCCUCGGCAGGAGUCCCACUCCUCCUGGGGUGCUGCCUGCCGCAGAGAGCUCCCCUACCUGUACCACCCUGUGGGACUCCAGGCACCAUCUGUUCUCCCCAGGGACCUGCUGACUUGGUGAAUGCCAGCCCUUGCCCCUCUGUGUUGCUUUGGGCCACCUGGGGCUGCACCCCCUGCCCUUUCUCUGCUCCCUCCCUACCCUAGCCUUGCUCUCAGCCACCUUGACAGUCACUGGGCUCCCUGUGACUUCUGACCCUGACACCCCUCCCUUGGACUCUGCCUGGGCUGGAGUCUAGGGCUGGGGCUACAUUUGGUUUCUGUACUGGCUGAGGACAGGGGAGGGAGUGAAGUUGGUUUGGGGUGGCCUGUGUUGCCACUCUCAGCACCCCACAUUUGCAUCUGCUGGUGGACCUGCCACCAUCACAAUAAAGUCCCCAUCUGAUUUUUAGA
rnacentral:sRNA from 1 species